AUUGAACGCUGGCGGCAUGCCUUACACAUGCAAGUCGAACGGUAACAGGUCUUCGGAUGCUGACGAGUGGCGAACGGGUGAGUAAUACAUCGGAACGUGCCUAGUAGUGGGGGAUAACUACUCGAAAGAGUGGCUAAUACCGCAUGAGAUCUACGGAGUAAAGCAGGGGAUCGCAAGACCUUGUGCUACUAGAGCGGCCGAUGGCAGAUUAGGUAGUUGGUGGGCUAAAAUCUUACCAAGCCGACGAUCUGUAGCUGGUCUGAGAGGACGAUCAGCCACACGGGGACUGAGACACGGCCCAGACUCCUACGGGAGGCAGCAGUGGGGAAUUUUGGACAAUGGGCGAAAGCCUGAUACAGCAAUGCCGCGUGCAGGAUGAAGGCCUUCGGGUUGUAAACUGCUUUUGUACGGAACGAAAAGCCCCGGGUUAAUACCCUGGGGUCAUGACGGUACCGUAAGAAUAAGCACCGGCUAACUACGUGCCAGCCGCCGCAGUAA
rnacentral:rRNA from 1 species